AGUCGAGGGGCAGCGAUCAUCAAGAGCUUGGCUUUGAGUGGAUGGCGACCGGCGCACGGGUGAGUAACACGUAUCCAACCUGCCGACAACACUGGGAUAGCCUUUCGAAAGAAAGAUUAAUACCGGAUGGCAUAAUUUUCCCGCAUGGGAUGAUUAUUAAAGAAUUUCGGUUGUCGAUGGGGAUGCGUUCCAUUAGGCAGUUGGCGGGGUAACGGCCCACCAAACCUACGAUGGAUAGGGGUUCUGAGAGGAAGGUCCCCCACAUUGGAACUGAGACACGGUCCAAACUCCUACGGGAGGCAGCAGUGAGGAAUAUUGGUCAAUGGACGAGAGUCUGAACCAGCCAAGUAGCGUGAAGGAUGACUGCCCUAUGGGUUGUAAACUUCUUUUAUACGGGAAUAAAGUGAGCCACGUGUGGCUUUUUGUAUGUACCGUAUGAAUAAGGAUCGGCUAACUCCGUGCCAGCAGCCGCGGUAAUACGGAGGAUCCGAGCGUUAUCCGGAUUUAUUGGGUUUAAAGGGAGCGUAGGCGGGUUGUUAAGUCAGUUGUGAAAGUUUGCGGCUCAACCGUAAAAUUGCAGUUGAUACUGGCGACCUUGAGUGCAACAGAGGUAGGCGGAAUUCGUGGUGUAGCGGUGAAAUGCUUAGAUAUCACGAAGAACUCCGAUUGCGAAGGCAGCUUACUGGAUUGUAACUGACGCUGAUGCUCGAAAGUGUGGGUAUCAAACAGGAUUAGAUACCCUGGUAGUCCACACAGUAAACGAUGAAUACUCGCUGUUGGCGAUAUACAGUCAGCGGCCAAGCGAAAGCAUUAAGUAUUCCACCUGGGGAGUACGCCGGCAACGGUGAAACUCAAAGGAAUUGACGGGGGCCCGCACAAGCGGAGGAACAUGUGGUUUAAUUCGAUGAUACGCGAGGAACCUUACCCGGGCUUAAAUUGCAACUGACGGAAUCGGAAACGGUUCUUUCUUCGGACAGUGUGAAGUGCUGCAUGG
rnacentral:rRNA from 1 species